UACGGAGGGAGCUAGCGUUGUUCGGAAUUACUGGGCGUAAAGCGCGCGUAGGCGGCUUUGUAAGUUAGAGGUGAAAGCCCGGGGCUCAACCCCGGAACUGCCUUUAAGACUGCAUCGCUUGAAUCCAGGAGAGGUGAGUGGAAUUCCGAGUGUAGAGGUGAAAUUCGUAGAUAUCGUAAGGAAGACCAGUGGCGAAGGCGGGUCUCUGGACAGUUCCUGACACUGAGGCACGAAGGCCAGGGGAGCAAACGGG
rnacentral:rRNA from 1 species